rnacentral:rRNA from 1 species
GAUGAACGCUGGCGGCGUGCCUAAUACAUGCAAGUCGAGCGAAUGGAUUAAGAGCUUGCUCUUAUGAAGUUAGCGGCGGACGGGUGAGUAACACGUGGGUAACCUGCCCAUAAGACUGGGAUAACUCCGGGAAACCGGGUCUAAUACCGGAUAACAUUUUGAACAGCAUUAUUCGUAAUUGAAAGGCGGCUUCGGCUGUCACUUAUGGAUGAACGCGUGUCCCAUUAGCUAGUUGGUAAGGUAACGGCUCACCAAGGCAACGAUGCGUAGCCGACCUGGGAGGGUGAUCGGCCACACUGGGACUGAGACACGGCCCAGACUCCUACGGGAGGCAGCAGUAGGGAAUCUUCCGCAAUGGACGAAAGUCUGACGGAGCAACGCCGCGUGAGUGAUGAAGGCUUUCGGGUCGUAAAACUCUGUUGUUAGGGAAGAACAAGUGCUAGUUGAAUAAGCUGGCACCUUGACGGUACCUAACCAGAAAGCCACGGCUAACUACGUGCCAGCCGCCGCAGUAA